rnacentral:lncRNA from 1 species
CACCAUUUGACAUGAAGGGAUAUGCCGUACCCGAAGGCACCAUUUGACAUACGAACAUUUCUUCAACAUAGAGGGGUAUGCCGUACCGGAGUACCAUUUGAUAUACAACCAUUAACAUAGAGGGAUAUGCCGUACCGGAGUACCAUUUGACAUACAAAUAUUAGCAUGAACCGAAACUUAUAACUUAACACGAUUAAACACAUUGCACCCCUACCUACCUUGAUUGAUGCUUUUAAAACUUUGAAAACUUGGAUUGAAAACUUCGAUGAAACUUGGACGUUGAAAGAAAUGUACUUCUUGGAUGUUUGAAAACCGUUGAGAAUUGAUGCUUGUAAAUACUUCUUAAACUUCUAGGAAAAAUAAUUUUCCUCCCUCUCUUUUUCUCUCUUGGAAACUCUUUCUUUAGUAUUUAAAAGCUCUUGCUUUUGGUGUGAGAAAAAUGAGUAAAAUGAGGUCUCUAUUUAUAGGGAAAUAUCCCGUAACUUAAAGUAAAUGAAGGGUCAAAUUUCAUUUAAGAGAGAAAACAUGGGUGCCAUUUAAGUUUGAGGUUAAAUACUUCAAUUUAGUGAGGUUUUUAUUGUCAAAAACGUGGGUGGCCCUUUGAGAAAAUAAUGAAAAUAAAUACUUAAAUUCUAGAGAAAAAUGAGAAUUUUCAUUUCAGGCAGUUUCGGUCGACUGGUUGUAGUUCGGUUGACACUGCAUAGCCUUCAGUGUUUUUAUCAUAACUUCUUUUCCCGAUAUCCGAUCGAGGUAAUCAAAGUGCGUUGGAAAGCUAACUCAAAGAGUUACAACUUUUAUUUAGAUAUCACUUUCCAAAUCGAAUGUUUCCUAUGUUGAAAAUGGGUCUCAAAUGAGACUAAAAAUCUGAAGUAUACUUUAGUAAUCCAAUAUUCAUGUCUUAGUGCCACUAAGGUGUCUAGAAUUAUUUGAGGUUCUACAUCCCCCACACCUUAAUUAAAAUUUCGUCCUCGGAAUUUACCUUCUGAUUGGGCGAAUAGUGUUGGAUACUUGUCUUUUGCUUCUUCUUCUUUUUCCCCAGUGGCUUCUUCUAUGCCGUGAUGAUUCCAUUGUAUCUUAACCAGCUGAAUCUCUUUAUGCACUUUUCGAUCCAAUAUCUUAAUCGGUAGUUCCUCGUACGACAAAUCUUUCUGUACCUCCAAAGUUUGAUAACUCACUACAUGAUUAGGAUCAUGUACAUACUUCUUUAUCAUCGAUAUAUGGAACACAUUGUGCACUGCCGAUAAUUCAGGUGGCAAAGCUAGUCGGUAAGCCAGAUUUUCGACUCUAUCAAGUAUCUUGAAAGGUCCGAUAUACCGAGGUCGUAGCUUGCCUUUCUUUCCAAAUCUAAGUACACCUUUCAUCGGUGCUACUUUCAGAAACACUUUAUCCCUAACUUGGAAUUCUAAAUCCUUCCUCCUUGUAUUUACAUAGCUCUUUUAUCGAUCUUGUGCUGCCUUUAUUCUUGUAUGGAUCUUAUCGAUUACCUCGACCGUCCUUUCAACUAUUUUUUGUCCUAAAACUCUCUUCUCUCCGACUUCAUCCCAAUGAACAGGGGAUCUACAUCUUCUACCAUAGAGAGCUUCGUAUGGUGCCAUUCCAAUAGUUGCUUGGAAACUGUUAUUAUAAGCGAACUCUAUUAGAGGUAAGUAUGACUCCCAAUUACCUCCUAGAUCCAAAACACAUGUUCUUAGCAUGUCUUCUAAAGUUUGGAUGGUACUUUCAGACUGACCAUCGGACUGAGGGUGAUAUGAAGUACAAAAGUUCAGCUUCGUUCCCAUAGCUCUUUGUAGACUUUUCCAAAAUUUGGACGUGAACCUUGGGUCUCUGUCAGACACAAUGGAUACAAGUACACCGUGUAAUCUCACAACCUUUUUAAUGUACAACUGUGCCAAUUGGUCUAAACUGAAUGUCAUUUUCACUGGAAGAAAAUGAGCCGACUUCGUUAGUCAAUCCACUACUAUCCAUAUAGUAUUAUUUCCUCUUGCUGACUUCGGGAAUCCAACCACAAAGUCCAUCGUGAUAUUUUUCCAUUUCUAUUCAGGUAUAUCUAUUGGAUUUAACAAUCCAGUUGGUUUUUGGUGUUCUGCCUUAACCUGUUGACAUACCAUGUACUUCUGCACGUAUAGCCCUAUACUUCUUUUCAUAUUUCUCCACCAAAAUGUAUCUCGAAGAUCUCGAUACAUUUUCGUACCACCAGGAUGUGUGGUGUACUGGGUGGAAUGAGCUUCUUUUAAUAUCUCGUUUCUUAAGGCUUCAUCCUUAGGCACGCAAAUUCUUCCUCUAAAUAUCAGUGCUUGAUCCUCAGCUAUUCCAAAGUCCUUUUUCUUAUCGGUACCAACUUCAUUCUUAAUCUUCUGUAAAAAUGAGUCUUUAUUUUGUGCCUCUAUAAUUCGAUCUCUAAGAGUAGGUCGAAUUAUUAAAGUUGCUAGACGAGCAGGGACUUGUCCUAGUGUGGUAACCACUUCGAUCUGCAACUUUUUCAAGUCCUUGACUAACUCCACCUGAGAGGUGGGUAGUGACGUCAAUUGUCCCAUCGAUUUUCUACUUAGAGCGUCGGCCACAACAUUAGCCUUACCCGGAUGGUAGUGAAUAGUGCAGUCGUAAUCGUUCACCAAUUCCAACCAUCGUCUUUGUCGCAUAUUCAAUUCCUUCUGUGUGAAGAAAUACUUGAGACUUUUGUGAUGUGUGUAGAUAUCAUACUUCCAUCCAUACAAGUAGUGUCGCCAUAUCUUCAAAGCGUGUACGACCGCUGCAAGUUCUAAAUCAUGUGUCGAGUAGUUCUGCUCAUGUUUCUUCAAUUGUCUUGAAGCAUAGGCUCUCAUUUUUCCAUUCUGCAUUAGUACACAUCCCAAUCCUCGCUUGGAUGAGUCGCUGUAACAAACCCUUCCGUACCUUCAGGUAUUGUUAAUACAGGUACUGAUAUCAACUUCUGCUUAAGUUCUUGGAAACUUUGUUUGCAUUUUUCGUCCAUUGGAAUUUUACUCCCUUCCUUGUAAGCCGCGUCAUUGGUCCAACUAUUUUGGAGAAUCCUUCUAUGAAUCUCCUAUAAUAUCCAGCCAAUCCUAGAAAACUCCGUACUUCGCCAGCAUUUGUUGGUGCUUUCCAGUUGGUUAUUGCUUCUACUUUUGCUGGAUCUACUUCAAUCCCUUGGGCAGUAACUACAUGUCCAAGAAAUCCAACUCGUUCAAGCCAAAACUCGUACUUCUUGAAUUUGGCAUACAGCUUCUCCUUGC